AUUCAGUCGACGACCUUCGGGUUAGUGGCGGACGGGUGAGUAACGCGUGAGAAUCUGCCCUCAGGAGGGGGAUAACAGUUGGAAACGACUGCUAAUACCCCAUAUGCCGAGAGGUGAAACGAAUUUUGCCUGGGGAUGAGCUCGCGUCUGAUUAGCUUGUUGGUGGGGUAAAAGCCUACCAAGGCUUCGAUCAGUAGCUGGUCUGAGAGGACGAUCAGCCACACUGGGACUGAGAUACGGCCCAGACUCCUACGGGAGGCAGCAGUGGGGAAUUUUCCGCAAUGGGCGCAAGCCUGACGGAGCAACGCCGCGUGAGGGAUGAAGGCCUUUGGGCUGUAAACCUCUUUUCUCAAGGAAGAAGAUCUGACGGUACUUGAGGAAUAAGCCACGGCUAAUUCCGUGCCAGCAGCCGCGGUAAUACGGGAGUGGCAAGCGUUAUCCGGAAUUAUUGGGCGUAAAGCGUCCGCAGGCGGCCGUUUAAGUCUGUUGUUAAAUCGUGGAGCUCAACUCCAUCACGGCAAUGGAAACUGUUCGGCUUGAGUAUGGUAGGGGCAGAGGGAAUUUCCGGUGUAGCGGUGAAAUGCGUAGAUAUCGGGAAGAACACCAGUGGCAAAAGCGCUCUGCUGGGCCAUUACUGACGCUCAUGGACGAAAGCCAGGGGAGCGAAAGGGAUUAGAUACCCCUGUAGU
rnacentral:rRNA from 1 species